GUUUUUUUGGAUUGGUUGGUUGGUUGGUUUUUUUCAUCCACAAUUUAGGAGGUUUGUUUGAAAAAUGUAUGUUCUAAAACAAUCUUUUGCACCCUUCAAUUUUUUUGUGUGUGUGUUUAUCUCCAGAACUUAUAAACAAAUGCAUAGGUUCAUGCAUUCGUACUGUGAUGAAGAGUGAUAAGGACUGUUGGAAUACUCCUGGGGUACUACUGCUCUGGACGUUAUUUCCCUUGAAACUGGAAUUUCAGAUACAGUGCUAGAAGAUCUUGCAGAAUUAUAAGUACUAUUUCUGCUUCUUGUUGCUUUUUGAUGUUUGGUUUCCUGAGAAAAAAUAAUGCGGAAGAUCUACAAGGAAAGUGAUUUUACAUUUUUUAAAUACUUGCCAGCUGACUGGUUUAUACUUUGGAUGUGAGCUACAGAGGGGGAUCUAUUCAGAACAGCCAUGUCGUGGAGCAGCUGUUGCAUGAUUUAUACUUGUCAUUGCGUUCUCAAUUUAUAGGCUUAUUUUUUCAUGGAUUAUGCAUUGAACUUUCCAGUAGUUUGUUUGCUCUUACAUUUCCCUAAGGUUUAGACAAAAAUUUAAAAAGUUACCAGCCUUAAGGAUGAGUAUUUCUUACUUUAUCAUGUCAUGUUGCUGUUGGAAACCUCUUUUGGGUGUUGGUGGUAUCCAAGGAAUGCCCAGGAUUUAGAGGAUGAAUCUGUAUGUUCAUAUACUGAGCAGAAAAGUACAACUGCUCUUUCUGGUGACCUCUAGCUUUUUUACCCAGGUGGUCCAUUUAUCAAGAUCACACUGCAGUGUGGCUAAUUUUAUUUGUUAGUUCCAACAGCUGUCAUCUUAAUGCAGAGGUUUGUGUCAGUUCUGUAAUCCAAACUGGAAUAAUUGUACUCAUGUGUUCUUACUUCCUGUUACCCAUGCUGCUUCAGUGACAUGGCACCUGAGGGCAGAAGAAUCACAAAGCUAUCCCAGAGUUUGCCAAAUGGAAAUAACAGGGCAGUGGGAAGUCCUCAUUGUUAAAAGGCUGGGUGCAUUCAUUUUAAGUCCCUGUAAUUUGAUCAGUAAUUGAGUUCAGUUACUUGAGGCUGAGCUUUCCAGACAGUUCCAUUCCAUCAGGUAAUUUGAAGUCACUUCAGGGGAUAUGUGUGUGUGAAUGAUGCUGGAAAAGUGAUCUUACUGCCCUACUUGGUAGAUGUUGCAUUUUGGAAAAAAGCAAAACAAAACCCAAACAAACAUGAAAAGAUUGUUGCCCUAAUUUUGUUUUGAUGAAUAUUUUUCUGGUCUUCAGGUGUGCAAGGAUGUCACUGGCUUUGUUCCUCAUGCUGUAGCUGGUUCCUUUAUUCAUGUUUACCCUUUUGUAUUUCUUUGAUAUGUUGAGAUUAUUGUAGGUUUUAAUUUUUUGAUAACAGGAUCAGAAAAGGGAAAAGCUUCCUGCUUCUCUUCAGACACUGACAUACUAACUCAAGAGUCAUUUUGUUACGCAUGAGCAUCAAGGAACAAGGCUCUGGGGCCCUAGACAGAUCUCUUUCUGUAUCCUUGCAACGCAAUCAAUUCAUCGUUUCAAUCAUCUUUCAGAAAAUCCAUGGAAACUGAACAUGAAAUGGCCAUGAACUUGAAUAAAACUUGCCUUUGAGUUUGCUUGUAAUGUUUGAGAAGUGGACAGAAAAAACCCUGGAUGUGGCCAACAGUAUCUUCCUAAGGGCUUGUGUUUGAAAUCUAAUCUCAGGGGCAUCUCUGCCAGCUGCCUUUGUGACACAAAUUGAUUUCUUGUCACAGAUGUACACACAUUCUGUAAUGGAACUUGCUGCUGCACCACCAUCAUCUUGAGAAGCCACCACUCCCACACCUGAAAGCUCCAGCAUGAGCAGUUCAUACAGCAGGAGAGCCCAGCAGUGACAGAGGGGAGAGGAGAAGAGCCUUGAGAAGUGGAGUACUUCUGCUAUCUGAUAACUAUGGAUGGGACCAACAGGUGCAGAACCCUAAGCUACUCUCCAUUCUGCUGCAGGACUUUCUGAAUUCCUGCCUGAAGACAGUUGAUGGUCUGCCAAGGAACUUCUGCAGGUUUGAAAGGCUGAGAAACCCGGAACACCAGAUCCUGUGGGAAUCUCCCCUCCCCACCCCGCGGAGCUUCAGCACCGCGGACAGCGGCGGCCGGGGUCCCGGCGGGGUCCCGGAGGGGUCCCGGAGGGGUCCCGGUGCCCGCCGGCCCCAGGGCGCGCCUAGGCCGGGCCAGGAAUGAGGGAAGACAGUUUCAGCACAACGUAGCAAGUGAGGUUGAAAAUGCCUCCCACUCUGGGGAUGUUGCUUGGUCAAGAAGGGCCUUCCAUAAGCACCACAAGAAGAAACUGGAAAUAAAAAGUAUCAGCCUUCCUUACAGAAUAACCUUUUCCCCCCAUUUUUAUCAAUUUUGAUGUGUGGGAAAGUUCUAUUUAAAUAUUCAUUUUAAAAAAAAAGAGGAUGCUUUAAAUUGAAGGAGUAAAAGUAUUAGUUAUGAACAGCAUAGUAGGAUUAUGGAAUGCAGGCACAAAAUUUUAAGAAAUGCAGGAAAACUUGACGGCCCAAUAUGAAGCCAAAUUAUGCACAGGCACUGUAUUUGCAUCUUCAGCUGUAUGAUCCUGUGCGUGGGUUUUAUUUCCUCAUAGCAUCACCAGCAGGCUCAAAUGCAGGAUCUCCACACAGUCCUUUCAGACAUCUACAGGCCCUGCUUGCACAGCCUAAAGAAUAACACACUAUUUGUUCCUGAGCUGGACAAUCUCAGAUUUUAAGGGGGCACAUGAAAAAUACUGAGUUUUGAUGAAUCACCAGCUGAAAGCUGCCUUACAAUCAUAAGGCAAAUGUAACAGCAGGUAAUGUAAUGACAAUACCAUCACAGAUGAUUGACUCUGCCUCUGUCCCUGGCUCAUACACCAAAAUAUGGUCUCCUCCCAGAGAUGCCAGAUGAGGUGAGGCUGGGGCUCCCUAACAGAAGGCAGGCAGGAUUUUGAAGAGCCAUUUAUAACCUUAGUCAGAGGGUUAGAAGGCCAAAAGAAAGGAAAGGAGGUAUUGCAGGACUUUUUCUUGCUUCUCAAAGUGUAAAUGCCUAUGACUUUCAAGCCUACAUGUGACUGAUUUUAGACACACUCUCCUUGCUCACCCACAACCACCUGAGAAUAUUAACCACAAAUCCAUAGCAGCUGCCAUCCUUUCCUAUAGGAAAUAAGCAUAAAAAUGGCUUCACCACCUGUAUUCACAUACAGGCAAACUGUGGCUGAAAUCUGUAGAAUUACAGAGGGUCACUUACUGUACUGCAUUGGCAAGAGGCUCUGAAAGGGAAGAAGUGGAAACCACUGGAGCAACACUCAC